GAGCUCCCUCCUUUUGGAGUUUUCUGCUGUGAGCCUAGGACACAAACAGUGGUCUGACAGGUGACUAUGCUCAUCAGGAGGAAGCACCAAUAACUUGCAAGCUUCUUGAUGGAGCAAGAACUGUGACUUAAUUGUGUCUUGCUGUAGACAAGAAGCUCAUUUUGAGUCCCCAGGAAUUUAAGAGCAGAAUAUGAACAAUAAUUCAAUAAAGAAUGAAGCUCUAGGUGUUUUACCAGGAAGAGCACUAGCUCCUCAUCAACAAAAAGCAUAUCUUGAAUCCAUACAGCUCCUGUCCUUGCAUUUCUGUCAGAAAGAUAUCUUAGUACAAACAUACAAAUAACUGAAUUCAAAAUGUAUUUAAACUUGAUUUCUCUUAAGUAUGAAUGGCAUACUCAAAAUGUCAGCUUCCCCACUUUCUACAUCAACUCAAUUUUAUUUUAAGUCCACUGAGUCAAGCACCUGUGCUCUCUGCUGCGUGCAAACACACAGCCAUGGAGGCAGCAGGUGAGGCUCCCAUUGCAGACUUCUUGCAGUGGAGGGUACAAACAACAGGGGGGCAGCUGUUAAGGCAGUUCAAGUGCCAGUCCAUGCACACACUAAUGAAAAAGGAAGAGUCCUGCAUGCAAGACUAAGCCCACAAGCUGCCAGCUGGACUGUGCUGCUCCAUGAUAUCAGCAAUACAGGAGCUAAAAUGCAAUCACAAGUGGUGUUGCCUGCUCUUCUAUCAACCUCUUCAUGCAGAAGCUGUGUUCCAAGAGGAAAAUGAAUGGUCUUUGACAAGGAAAAGCUAUGCUUUUUCUCAAGCAUCGCUCAUAGCGUUUCUAAGGUUUAUGAAUAUGAUGUAGGUUAUUAGCACUCACUGCACCAUUUGUGACUACAAAAUGUCACUAGUCAAUAUUUUUCCCAUGUUCCCCUUUCCUUGCUGCAGUCUGUGAUUAACACUUGAUAUUUCAAGAGAAUACUCAGCCUGCAGUUACUGCUUUGCUUUCAUAUUUUUUCUCCUUGUUUAUCUUGCUGUAUUCUUGAAA